GACGAACGCUGGCGGCGUGCCUAAUACAUGCAAGUCGAGCGAAGUUUUUCUGGUGCUUGCACUAGAAAAACUUAGCGGCGAACGGGUGAGUAACACGUAAAGAACCUGCCUCAUAGACUGGGACAACUAUUGGAAACGAUAGCUAAUACCGGAUAACAGUAUUUCUCGCAUGAGAGAUAUUUAAAAGUUGGUUAUGCUAACACUAUGAGAUGGCUUUGCGGUGCAUUAGCUAGUUGGUGGUGUAAAGGCCCACCAAGGCGACGAUGCAUAGCCGACCUGAGAGGGUGAUCGGCCACACUGGGACUGAGACACGGCCCAGACUCCUACGGGAGGCAGCAGUAGGGAAUCUUCCGCAAUGGGCGAAAGCCUGACGGAGCAAUGCCGCGUGAGUGAAGAAGGAUUUCGGUUCGUAAAGCUCUGUUGUUAGGGAAGAAUGGAUAUGUAGUAACUAUACAUGUAAGAGACGGUACCUAACCAGAAAGCCACGGCUAACUACGUG
rnacentral:rRNA from 1 species